GCAGCAAUUAGGAAUAGUCGGCAAUGGGCGAAAGCCUGACCGCGCAAUGCCGCGUGUAGGAAGACGCUCUAACGAGUGUAAACUACUGUGGCGAGGGAAGAAGUCUUCGGAUUGACGGUACCUCGCUAGAAAGGGGCCGCUAACUGCGUGCCAGAAGCGUCGGUAAGACGUGGGCCCCGAGCGUUAUCCGGUGUUACUGGGCGUAAAGAGUCGUGUAGGCGGUUCGAAAAGUUACCUUUUAAAUCCCAAUGCUCAACAUUGGAACUGGAGGUAAUACUCUCGAACUAGAGUUUUCUACAGGGUGAAUGGAACUGUGGGAGGAGUAGUGAAAUGCGUUGAUCCCCACGGGAACACCAGUGGCGAAGGCGGUUCACUGGUAGAAGACUGACGCUGAGACACGAAAGCUAGGGUAUCGAAGCAGAUUAGAGACCUGCGUAGUCCUAGCCGUAAACGCAUGCUUGCUGGCUGCAUUUCCGCCCCUUCGGGGGUUAGGUGUGGCGAAGGUAACCCGUUAAGCAAGCCGCCUGGGGAUUACGGUCGCAAGACUAAAACUCAAAGGAAUUGGCGGGGAGGCACACAACCAGUGGAACAUGUGGUUUAAUUCGAAACAAACCGAAGAACCUCACCUGGGUUUGACAUGUAGCUGCUCAUCCUAUGAAAGUAGGACUCCUUCGAGGGUGCUACACAGGUGCUGCAUGGCUGUCGUCAGUUCGUUCCGUGAGGAGUGCCCUUAAGUGGGACAACGAACGCAACCCCCAUCGUAUGUUAUAUCUGUCAUACGAAACUGCCUUGCCGUUGGCGAGGAGGAAGGAGGGGCAGACGUCAAGUCUGCAUGGUCCUUAUGCCCAGGGCUACACACAUGUUACAAUGAGAAGGAACAAUGAGCAUUGCGAACUCGCGAGGGUAAGCAAAUCUCAGAAAUCUUCUCUCAGUGGGGAUUGGAGUCUGCAAUUCGACUCCAUGAACGCGGAAUUGGUAGUAAUCGCGGGUCAGCUAUACCGCGGUGAUACGUUCUUGCCUCUUGCACACACCGCCCGUCAAGCCAACAAAGU
rnacentral:rRNA from 1 species